rnacentral:rRNA from 1 species
GACAGAGGGGGCAAGCGUUGCUCGGAAUUACUGGGCGUAAAGGGCGCGUAGGCGGGAUGGCAAGUCGGUCGUGAAAUCCCUCGGCUCAACCGAGGAACGUCGAUCGAUACUGCUGUUCUUGAGGAUUGCAGAGGAGACUGGAAUUCCCGGUGUAGCGGUGAAAUGUGUAGAGAUCGGGAGGAACACCAGUGGCGAAGGCGGCUCACUGGUCCGGUACUGACGCUGAGGUGCGAAAGCGUGGGGAGCAAACAGG